AACGAACGCUGGCGGCAGGCUUAACACAUGCAAGUCGAACGCCCGUAGCAAUACGGGAGUGGCGGACGGGUGAGUAACGCGUGGGAACGUGCCCUGAGGUACGGAAUAACUGCGGGAAACUGCAGCUAAUACCGUAUGAGCCCCUUACGGGGGAAAGAUUUAUCGCCUUAGGAGCGGCCCGCGUCGGAUUAGCUAGUUGGUGGGGUAACGGCUUACCAAGGCUUCGAUCCGUAGCUGGUCUGAGAGGACGAUCAGCCACACUGGGACUGAGACACGGCCCAGACUCCUACGGGAGGCAGCAGUGGGGAAUCUUGCGCAAUGGGGGCAACCCUGACGCAGCCAUGCCGCGUGAAUGAUGAAGGCCUUAGGGUUGUAAAGUUCUUUUGCCCGUGACGAUGAUGACGGUAACGGAAGAAUAAGCUCCGGCUAACUUCGUGCCAGCAGCCGCAGUAAAAC
rnacentral:rRNA from 1 species